GGUCGGGUGGAGCAAUGGUGGCUCGUCACUUUCCGGUUGAACAUCUUCCAGGUGAAGGUUGCGGGUUCGAGUCCCGUCCUGAUCG